CCCCAUGGAGCUUUAAACCUGACAGCACCCGCUCAUUCUAUACCCCAUUAUUUGCCCGACCCCUGUCUGCUCAGUUUUAGGUUGGGGUGACCACGGAGUAUAAAAUAACCUCCAUGAAGAAGGGGAUAUUUCCCUUAUUAGAGAACCACACUUCCAAGAACUAAUAAAUUAAUUUUCAAUGACCCGAUACCCGAUAAUCGAUCAACGAACCAAGUUACCCUGGGGAUAACAGCGCAAUCCACCCUGAAAGCCCUUAUUAACAGGUGGGUUUACGACCUCGAUGUUGGAUCAGGGUAUCCCAGUGGUGCAGCAGCUACUGAGGGUUCGUUUGUUCAACGAUUAAAACCCU
rnacentral:rRNA from 1 species